rnacentral:rRNA from 1 species
GGGUGGCAGCAGUGGGGAAUAUUGGACAAUGGGGGCAACCCUGAUCCAGCCAUGCCGCGUGAGUGAUGAAGGCCUUAGGGUUGUAAAGCUCUUUCACCGGUGAAGAUAAUGACGGUAACCGGAGAAGAAGCCCCGGCUAACUUCGUGCCAGCAGCCGCGGUAAUACGAAGGGGGCUAGCGUUGUUCGGAUUUACUGGGCGUAAAGCGCACGUAGGCGGAUAUUUAAGUCAGAGGUGAAAUCCCAGGGCUCAACCCUGGAGCUGCCUUUGAUACUGGGUAUCUUGAGUAUGGAAGAGGUGAGUGGAAUUCCGAGUGUAGAGGUGAAAUUCGUAGAUAUUCGGAGGAACACCAGUGGCGAAGGCGGCUCACUGGUCCAUUACUGACGCUGAGGUGCGAAAGCGUGGGGAGCAAACAGGAUUAGAUACCCCUG